rnacentral:rRNA from 1 species
GCCAGCAGCCGCGGUAAUACGGAGGGUGCGAGCGUUAAUUGGAAUUACUGGGCGUAAAGCGCAUGCAGGUGGUUUGUUAAGUCAGAUGUGAAAGCCCGGGGCUCAACCUCGGAAUUGCAUUUGAAACUGGCAGACUAGAGUACUGUAGAGGGGGGUAGAAUUUCAGGUGUAGCGGUGAAAUGCGUAGAGAUCUGAAGGAAUACCGGUGGCGAAGGCGGCCCCCUGGACAGAUACUGACACUCAGAUGCGAAAGCGUGGGGAGCAAACAGGAUUAGAUACCCUGGUAGUCCACGCCGUAAACGAUGUCUACUUGGAGGUUGUGGCCUUGAGCCGUGGCUUUCGGAGCUAACGCGUUAAGUAGACCGCCUGGGGAGUACGGUCGCAAGAUUAAAACUCAAAUGAAUUGACGGGGGCCCGCACAAGCGGUGGAGCAUGUGGUUUAAUUCGAUGCAACGCGAAGAACCUUACCUACUCUUGACAUCCAGAGAAGCCAGCAGAGAUGCAGGUGUGCCUUCGGGAACUCUGAGACAGGUGCUGCAUGGCUGUCGUCAGCUCGUGUUGUGAAAUGUUGGGUUAAGUCCCGCAACGAGCGCAACCCUUAUCCUUGUUUGCCAGCGAGUAAUGUCGGGAACUCCAGGGAGACUGCCGGUGAUAAACCGGAGGAAGGUGGGGACGACGUCAAGUCAUCAUGGCCCUUACGAGUAGGGCUACACACGUGCUACAAUGGCGCAUACAGAGGGCAGCCAACUUGCGAAAGUGAGCGAAUCCCAAAAAGUGCGUCGUAGUCCGGAUUGGAGUCUGCAACUCGACUCCAUGAAGUCGGAAUCGCUAGUAAUCGUGGAUCAGAAUGCCACGGUGAAUACGUUCCCGGGCCUUGUACACACCGCCCGUCACACCAUGGGAGUGGGCUGCAAAAGAAGUAGGUAGUUUAACCUUUCGGGGGAGGACGCUACCACUU